rnacentral:rRNA from 1 species
UUUCUCGAAGUAAAAGAUCUAGAUAAAUUUAUAAGUUUUUGUGUCAAAAAGAUUUAAAAAAUUUAUCUAGGUGUGAAAUUCUUAACGCUUUUACUAAUAUCUAGUAACUUCAGAAAUAAAUUUAGUUUAGAAUGUUUAGGAUGAACUUUCUCUAAAACCAUUUUUAAUCUUUAGGGGAUGAGCUCUAAAGAUUUAUUAUAAGAUAAAUAUUAUCAUUGUUUUUAUAUAGGCUUAGAAUUAGCCAUAGGAUAGUGUUUUAAAAUAUAAUUACAAGUUUGAGAUUUUAAAUUCUUUAUAUGUUUAUGAAGUUAAUUUUUAAAUUUAUUUAAAAGUGUAAAUAUGAUAACAUUAGUAGAAUUAUAUAUUAAUUUUUCUUAUAAUUUUUUUAUAAUAAAUUUAACAAAAGAACUCGGCAAAUUAUAUUUCCGAAUGUUUAUCAAAAACAUUUCCUCCUAGAAUAGGAGGUAAGGCCUGCUCACUGAUCAUUAAAGAGCCGCAGUAUCCUAACUGUGCUAAGGUAGCAUAAUCAUUAGUCUUUUAAUUGAGGACUGGUAUGAAUGGCUAAACGAGAAAUAGACUUUUUUUGUUAUACAAACUGAAUUUAAUUUUUCAGUGAAAAAGCUGAAAUUAUUUAGAAAGACGAGAAGACCCUAUAGAGUUUUAUGUUAUACAAUUGUUAUUUAUAGUAGAUUUUUAUUAAAUUAUAAUUUUUUAACAUUUUGUUGGGGCGACAUUAAGAUAUAUAAAACUCUUUAUUUUUUAUAUUUUUAUGGAAAGUUUAUUGAUCCUCUAAAAGAGAUCAGAAGAAAAAAUUACCUUAGGGAUAACAGCGUAAUCUUUUUUGAGAGUUCUAAUCGACAAAAAGGUUUGCGACCU